rnacentral:rRNA from 1 species
GAUGAACGCUGGCGGCGUGCCUAAUACAUGCAAGUCGAGCGAACGGACGAGAAGCUUGCUUCUCUGAUGUUAGCGGCGGACGGGUGAGUAACACGUGGAUAACCUACCUAUAAGACUGGGAUAACUUCGGGAAACCGUAGCUAAUACCGGAUAAUAUUUUGAACCGCAUGGUUCAAAAGUGAAAGACGGUCUUGCUGUCACUUAUAGAUGGAUCCGCGCUGCAUUAGCUAGUUGGUAAGGUAACGGCUUACCAAGGCAACGAUGCAUAGCCGACCUGAGAGGGUGAUCAGCCACACUGGAACUGAGACACGGUCCAGACUCCUACGGGAGGCAGCAGUAGGGAAUCUUCGGCAAUGGGCGAAAGCCUGAUGGAGCAACGCCGCGUGAGUGAUGAAGGUCUUCGGGUCGUAAAACUCUGUUAUUAGGGAAGAACAUAUGUGUAAGUAACUGUGCACAUCUUGACGGUACCGAAUCAGAAAGCCACGGCUAACUACGUG